UGUGUUGAAGCCGUACACACACGCUCCGAGGCGUAUAUAUACUGCGCUCUCCAGAGAACCGGCAGUCAGUCCGCAGUCAGCCUGCUAGUCAGUCUGUAGCUAGUCAGCCUGCUAGUUAGCCAGUGACUGGCCAGUGGUAGAGACCAGUCAGUAUCAGCCUGGAGCUGAGGGAAGAGCUGCCGCGAGGAGGAUAAACACAACGCAAGGUACAACACUGAGACCUCUACCGACGAUCUCUGCACGGAGUUGUCAUCUUCCUACAGACGAUCGUCUUGGUUGUUGUACCGGUAGAGUUGCACGUGACCACAGCAGUUGAAGCGCGGUUGCAGGAGACGAGCAUUAGCGUUGUCACGCGCCGCGCGCUGUCACUCAUCUUCUCGUCGUAUCGUCGUCCCUUGGUUAUUGUCAACGAAGCCGACCACAUCUAACUGUAGCUGCAGCGUUGGCCUAAAGACAUGGAUUCUCGCAAACCAUGAAUAAGCUAUAUGAGUCGAUGCGAGUCGUCGGCGAUUAUACCUGCCUGACGACGUUUUAGUCGAGCUGUGAGUCGCGCUGUCACUCGCAGGUGCGUUCACCUUCUACACGCUGAGUGCUUGCCGCGGGCGACGCGCAGACCUCGUCUUUCCUCGCGUGACUGAAACCGUUGUUGGCUUCACUGCCUGUGUAGGUGGACUAGUGCGAAGACGCCCACACCCACAUGUCACCUGAUUCGUUAACGUCAUACGGGACGUCGUCGGCAACUUAAUCAUCGUCAACGUCUUGUAUUAUUCAUUGAGUCCACGUGGCGUUCCCUCGACACUAUUCUUUACGUCAGCCCAGCUGCCAGUUGGUCAACAUGCAUGGGUGUCUCAUCGCUCGCCUAUUAUUGCGUGAGGAGUGUAUGGUAUCAUCUAAUAUGAUGUUUACUCAUGAUUACAUUCUACGGAUGCAAGUCUUUGGUUCAUUGUUUCACUAGGCGAUGGGGUUGUUGAGAUAAGGGGCUGUUUUUGUUGCCUCUUUGCACGAUGUAAUAUUUAUCCGUAUAUAAUGUAUGAACCCUCCUGUUUGAAGAGGAAAUGUUUGCCUUCACUUUUUUAUUAAUUCAUGUACGUAUUCCUAGCGUAAACUCUGUGGUAUUCAAACGGGCGUUAUUAAAAACGAUUUUUGUGUGUACAGUGGUAAAUAUUUGUUGCGGUCGCAUUGUUACGUGCGCGCAUCAAACUACGGAUACUAAUUUAUAAUAUAUUUCGUGCGUGUGUUUGUUUACAGAGUUUCGUUGUGUAAUGAAGAAAUCGUUAUCAGGCCCGUGCAUUCUCACCGCUAUAAACAGCUCGACAGGGGAUAGUGUGAUUAUCAUAAUGCGAUAGAACGCGUGGCUAUCAGGUAGAGUUAAUGCGCAUGGUAACUCACGAACAAUACUGGGUUUAUUGGUAGGCAUAGUGUGUGCCACUUUGCCACAUUCCACAUGCAGCGUUGAUGAGCUAGUUGGCUCGUUAGUUCUCAAAAACGAUUUUAACGCGCGAGAUAGUUCCGUUUUAUGUGUUUGCAAAUUGUUCCCUAUUUUAUGUAGUA